AACGCCGCCACAGCCGCCACCGCGACCGCCAGCGCCACCACCGCCGGCGACGCCAUACCCCCUCCUCUCUCUCUCUCUCUCCCCCUCGCUCUCUCCGCCCACGCCCGCGCUACUGGGGAUGGCCCCGGCUCCCGGCUCUCUCACUUCACUGGCAGGCUAUCACGCGAACGCCAUUGCCUCGCCGCGGCCGGUGGUGGUGCUUUGUAUGUGUCGCCGUGGGGCGGGGCGGGGCGCCGUGGUUGUGAAUCUGAUGGAUGCGAUGCGAUGCGAUGCCGAUACGAGGACGACGCGAGGCGCACCUCGCGUACACACGCGUCAACUACCUCGCACCGGCUUCGCCAAUCUGCACCGUGCACGUGGUGAGCAGAGUAAGUU
rnacentral:lncRNA from 1 species